rnacentral:misc_RNA from 1 species
UCACGUCUUACGACGGCAGUUUCACUAGAGUUCACAGCGUUACCUGAUGGCAACUAGUGAUGGGGGUUGCGCUCGUUGCGGGACUUAACCCAACACCUCACGGCACGAGCUGACGACAGCCAUGCAGCACCUGAACCGGCAGUCCCCGAAGGGAAAAUCCUAUUUCUAGGACGGUCCGCCGUUGUCUAGCCCAGGUAAGGUUCUUCGCGUUGCGUCGAAUUGAACCACAUGCUCCUCCGCUUGUGCGGGCCCCCGUCAAUUCCUUUGAGUUUCAACCUUGCGGUCGUACUUCCCAGGUGGAUCACUUAAUGCUUUCGCUUAGUCGCUGACAGUGUAUCGCCAACAACGAGUGAUCAUCGUUUACGGUGCGGACUAC